GCAAGUCGAACGGGAACUAUAUAACAGAUCCUUCGGGUGAAGACUUAUAGGGAACGUGGCGAAAGGGUGAGUAAUAAAUGGAUAACCUACCCUCUAGACCGGGAUAAUCCAUCGAAAGGUGGGGUAAUACCGGAUGGUAUGGUAACUUUACUGAGUUAUCAUUAAAGGUUGCUUCGGCAUCUGCUGGAGGAGGGGUUCAUUUCCUAUUAGCUUGUUGGUAAGGUAACGGCUUACCAAGGCAUAGAUGGGUAGGGGGCCUUAGCGGGUGAUC
rnacentral:rRNA from 1 species